rnacentral:rRNA from 1 species
AAAGGAAGUUGACGGGGGCCCGCACAAGCGGUGGAGCAUGUGGUUAAUUCGACGCAACGCGAAGAACCUUACCAGGGCUUGACAUCCCCUGACCGCGUAUGAAAGUACGAAUUCACCUUCGGGUGACAGGGAGACAGGUGGUGCAUGGUUGUCGUCAGCUCGUGUCGUGAGAUGUUGGGUUAAGUCCCGCAACGAGCGCAACCCCUACGUUUAGUUGCUAACGCGUGAAGGCGAGCACUCUAGACGAACUGCCGUUGACAAAACGGAGGAAGGUGGGAUGACGUCAAAUCAUCAUGCCCCUUAUGUUCUGGGCUACACACGUGCUACAAUGGCCGGUACAGACGGACGCAAAGCCGCGAGGUGGAGCAAAUCCUAAAAAGCCGGUCUCAGUUCGGAUUGCAGGCUGCAAUUCGCCUGCAUGAAGUCGGAAUCGCUAGUAAUCGCAGGUCAGCAUACUGCGGUGAAUACGUUCCCGGGCCUU